rnacentral:miRNA from 1 species
UGUAUAGUACUCGGCAUAAAAA